GAGAUCACCAUUGCUGCUGCUCUA
rnacentral:siRNA from 1 species